rnacentral:snRNA from 1 species
GCGCUCGCCUCAGCAGCACGUAUAUUAAAAUUGGAACAACAUAGAGAAGAUUAGCAUGGCCCCUGCACAAGGAUGACUCGGACAUUUGUGAUGCAGUCCAUAUUUUU